GCCUCGAUGGCGCUGUAGGCAGUGCGUAAGUCUCAUAAUCUUAAGGUCGUGAGUUUGAGCCUCACUCGGGGCA
rfam:Lucilia cuprina strain LS Scaffold22, whole genome shotgun sequence.